rnacentral:lncRNA from 1 species
GCAUACCUUCUUUUGAGAAAUGUGUGUUGAUUUCAUUUGCUCACUUUUCAAUGGGUUUGUUUUCUUUUUGUUGAGUUGUUUGAGUUCCUUGUAGAUUCUGGAUAUUAGUUCUUUGUCAGAUGUAUAGUUUAAGAAUAUUUUCUUCCAUUCUGUAGGUUGUUCAUCUAUUGUGUUGAAUAGAAGUGGUGAAAGUGGGCCUCCUUGUCUUGUUCCAUUUCUUAUGGGGAAUAUUUUUAACUUUUUCCUCAUUCAGUAUUAUGUUGGCUGUGGGUGUGUCAUAUAUGGCUUUUGUUAUUUUGAUGCAUGUUCCUUCUAUGCCUAGAUUGUUGAUGGUUUUUAUCAUAAAGGAUGCUGGGUUUUAUUGAAUGCUUUUUCUGUGUCUAUUGAGAUGAUCAUAUGGUUUUUGUUUUAAAUUCUGUUUAUGUGCUGAUUUAUAUUUAUUGACCUGCAUAUGUUGAACCAUCCCCGCAACCCUAGAAUGAUACCCACUAGAUCAUGAUGUACUGUCUUUUUGAUAUGCUAUUGGAUUUAGUUUGCCAGUAUUUUGUUGAGGAUUUUUGCAUCCAUGUUCAUCAGGGAUAUUGGUCUGUAGUUUUCUGUUUUUGUUAUAUCCUUUCCUGGCUUUGGUAUCAGGGUGAUACUGGCUUUGUAGAAUGCAUUAGGAAGGAUUCUUUCCUUCUCAAUAUUUUGUAAUAGCUUCAGUAGGAUUGGUACCCAUUCUUUGGAUACCUGGUAGAAUUUGUCUGUGAAUCCAUCUGGUGCUCUGCUUAUUUGCUGGGAGAUUUUAAAUCACUGAUUUAAUAUCACUGCUUAUUAUUGGUCUGUUUAGAAUUUCUGUGUCUUUCUAAUUUAAGUUUAGGGGGUUGUGUGUUUCCAGGAACUUAUCCAUUUCCUAAAGAUUUUCUGGAUUUUGUGCAUAGAGGUUUUCUUAGUAGUCUUGAAUGAACUUUUGUAUUUCUGUAGUAUCAGUUGUAAUGUCUCCAUUUUUAUUUCUGUUUGAGCUUAUUUGAAUCUUCUUUUUCUUGGUUAAUAUGAAAAUUUAUGGUUAUCUAUAAAUAUUAUCUUUUCAAAGAAAUGACUUUUUAUUUCAUUGAUCUUUUCUCUUGUUCUUUUUUUUAUUUGAAUUUUGUUUAGUUGUUUUCGGAUCUUUGUUAUUUCUCUCUUUUUUUUUUGCUAGAGUUGAGUUCGAUUUAUUCCUGUUUUUGUUGUUGUUCCUUGAGGUGUGACAUUAGGUUGUCAAUUUGUGAUUUUUCUGUCUUUUUGAUGUAGGCAUUUGACACUAUAUACUUUCCUCUUAGCACUGGUUUUGCUAUAUUCUAGAAGUUUUGAUAACUUUUAUCACUGCCAUCAUUCAUUUCGAAACAUUUUUAAAUUUUACAUUUUGCUUUUAUUGUUAACCUCCAAAUCAUUCAGGAGUAGAUUGUUUAAUUUCCACAUAUUUGCAUAGUUUUGAGUGUUCCUCUUGGAAUUGAUUUCUAGUUUUAUUUCACUCUGGCCUGAGAAGAUGCUUAAUAUAAUUUUGAUUUUUAAAAAUUUAUUGAGACUUGUUUUGUGGCCUAUCGUAUCUUGGAAAAUGUUCCAUGUGCUCAUAAGAAUAAUGUAUAUUCUGAAGUUUUGGGGUUGAAUGUUCUGUAAAUGUCUGUUAGGUCCAUCUUUCUCUCUCUCUCUCUCUCUUUUUUUUUGUUUUUUCUUUUUUUGACAGAGUCUUUCUCUGUUGCCAGGCUGGUGUGCAAUGGCACGAUCUUGGCUCACUGCAACCUCCGCCUCCUGGGUUCAAGUGAUUCGUCUGCCUCAGCCUCCUGAGUAGCUGGGACUACAGGGCGUGCCACCAUGCCCAGGCCCAGCUAAUUUUUGUAUUUUUAGUAGAGAUGGGGUUUUACCAUGUUGGCCAGGAUGGUCUCGAUCUCUUGACCUCGUGAUCUGCCCACCUCAGCCUCCCAAAAUGCUGGGAUUAUAGGCGUGAGUCACCACUCCUGGCCAGGUCAUCUUCAUCUAGAGUCCAGUUAAAGUCCAGUGUUUCUUUAUUGACUUUCUGUCUUGAUGAUUUGACUAGUGCUGUCAAUGGGGUGUUGAAGUUCCCGUCUCUUUAUUGUGCUGCUGUCUACCUCUUUUCUUAGGUCUAGUAGUAAUUGUUUUAUGCAUCUUGGAGCUCUGGAGUUAGAUGCAUAUACAUUUAGGAUUGUUAUAUUCUUCUUAUUGAAUUGAUCCCUUUAUCAUUAUAUAAUGACCUUCUUUCUUUUCUUUUUUCUUUUUUCUUCUUUCUUUCUUUUUUUUUCUUUCCUCUUGUUUCUUUAAAGUUGUCUUAUCUGAUAUAAGAAUAGCUACUCCUGCUUGCUUUUGGUUUUCAUUUGUGUGAAAUAUUUUUUCCACGUCUUUAUCUUGAGUCUCUAAGAAUCUUCAUACAUUAGGUAGGUGUCCUGAAGAUAGUAGAUAUUUGGUUUGUGAUUUUAAUCCAUUCUGCCAAUAUAUAUUUUUAAAGUGUAGCACUCAGACUGUUUACAUUCAAUGUUAAUGUUGACAUGUGAGAUGUUGUUCUAGUCAUUAUGUCGCUUUUUACCAAGUUACUUUGUUUACUUUAUUGUGUCACUGUUUUAUAAGCCUUGUGAGUUUUGUGCUUUCAAUUGUUUUUAUUCUGGGGCACAUCGAUCUUUUGUUUCAAUAUUUAGGACUUAUUUUAGCAUUUCUCAUAGGCCUGUCUAGUGUUGACAGAUUCUCUCAGCAUUUGCUUGUCUGUGAAAGACUUAAUUUCUCCUUCACUUAUGAAACUUAGUUUUGCUGGUUACAAAAUUCUUGGCUGAAAGUUAUGUUUAAGGAGACUAAAGGUAGGACCCUAAUCCCUUCUGGCUUGUAAGAUUUCUGCUGAGAAUCUGCUGUUAGUCUGAUAGGUUUUCCUUUAUAAGUAAGUAAGUUAUCUAAUGCUUUUGUCUCACUGCUCUUAGAAUUCUUUCCUUCACAUUAAAUUUAGAUAGCCUGACGACUAUGUCUUGGUGAUGUCUUUUUUGCAUGAAUCUCCCAGGGCUUCUUUGAGUUUCUUGUAUUUGAAUGUCUAAAUCUCUAGCAAAACCAGUAACAUUUUCAUUAAUUAUUGCCCCAAAUAGGUUUCCCAACUUCUUGCUUUUUCUUCUCCCUCAGGAACAACCUAUAAUUCUUAGGUUUGGACAUUUUAUAUAAACCUAUAUUUAUGAGAAACUUUGUUCACUUCUUUUAAUUCUUUUUUCUGUAUUUUUGCCUGAUUGGGUUAAUUCAAAAUCCUUUUCUGUAAGCUCAGAAAUUCUAAAAUUCCUUAAAAAUCAGUUUCUCAGUUUCUACAAAAAAACAACACUUUGGGAUUUUGAUUGGAAUUUUAUUGAAUCUAUGUAUUUAUUUGGGAAGAAAUGAUAUCUUUAGAAUAUUAUGUCCUCAAAUCCCUGAUCAUGGUGUAUCAUUCAAUUUAUUUUAACUUUCCUUAAAAUAUGUCUCAAAAUAUUAUAUUUUUCUUUAUAAAAGUCUUCCAUAUUUUUGCUAGAUUUAUUUCUAUGUAUUUGAUAUUAUUGUUAAAUUAUAAAUUUAAGUUGUAAAUUACCAAUUUAUUCUGGUUUCACUGAAUCAGGAAUAGAUAUGUAAUAACCAAAUACUUUUUCAGCAUUUGUGAAAAUAAUCAUAAUAUAUAUUUCUGUAACAUAUUAAGUUAUAUUAUUUUAAAAUAUUGAACCAUAUUUGUAUUUCUGAAAAAAAUUCAAAUUGGUUAUACUGUAUUAUUCUUGUAAUAUGCUUGUGAAUUAGGUCUAAACUUAUUUUAAUUUUGUAGUUUUUAAUUUAUAUACAUGAGUGAGCUUUUGUGUAGUUUUCUCUUAUUGUACAGACUUCAGUGGAUUAUGAUACCAAUGUUAUACUUACUUCAUAAAAUUAAUUUGGAUUUUUCCCCUUAAGUCAUUAUCUAAAAUAACUUUUAUAUAGCUUCUAAAUUAUUAUUAAAGGUUUACCAGGCUUCUUUUAUGAAAUUUUCUACCUGGAAAAUUUUAUUUGUGGCAUAGGGGUAAAAUUGAUAUAAAUAAAAUAGAGGGUUAUCUAAAAAUAUUUAUUGAUAUUACAAAGCCUAAAAUUUGCAUAUGUACUCAAACAUAUACACUUCUCAUUAUACAUCUUCCCAUACAUGUUUCUACCAGGUGAAUGUAUAGGAUUUGAUCUUUAGGAUUUUCAAUUCAUUCUUUUCUAGAUCUUUUUUAUUUUAGUUUCAAUUUUAUAUUUGAAAUAAGAACUGCUUGUGGGACUUUUAAAAAGGUCCCACAUUAUUUUCUUACUAAGUACUAGUGUUGUUUCCUUGUAAGCAUGGUACAUUUUUGGAUUUUAUUUUUACUUUUUGAAAUUUACUGGGACCUUGAAAGUGGUCUAAUAUAUGAUCAAGUUUUAUAAACAUUCUAUAACUUGAAAAGAAGGUACACUGUUUUUAUUUUUAGGGUUUAAAGUUCAAAAUAAUAUAUCAAUUAUUAUACCUUUUAAAUUAUUUUAUUUAAGCUUUCUAUUGGUUACAGGAAAAGAGAGGUGAAAUAAAAUCUAAGGCUAAUGUAUCUCUGUUUAUGCAUUUUACUCUCAUGGUUGUGAUUUAUGAAGGUGAAUGCUGUGUUAUUUAAUGCAUACAAUCCAAACAGUUAAGUGUUCAUCGUGUAUUGGACUCCUUAAUCUCAUAAAAACUGCCUGUUUUUGUUUUAAGGAUUUUUGGCCUGAAUUCAAAGUUAUGUGUUAUUAAGUUUGUUAAUACUACUCUUUUUUAUUGUAUUUUCCUUGUUUAUAUAUUUUUUUUGUUUUUGAGUUUUCAGAGUCACUUUGUUUUUAAUAUGUCUUACAUAUAGAGCACAGAAUUGUGUUUUGGUUUUAUUUUUGCCAUCCAUAUCUUUGUAUAAACACUUUGUUAUUGAAAAUUUUCAAUCAAUCAAUCAGCAAAGUUGAAAGACUUUUGCAGUGAACAAUCAUGGGUUUUGUUUUUAAUUCCCAUCCGAAAUUUUUUAUGCCUUAAGAGACAGAGUAAAUUCACUCGAAAACAUUGAUAUAUAUGCUUGCUUUUAAUCUAUAUUAUUCCGUUUUUUUGUUUGUUUGUAUUACAUAAAAUAUUUCAAUAUGUGCUCUUUUCUCUGUAUUUUGAUAUUGUGAUUCUCUUGAUAUUUAGACAGGCUUGUACUUCUGCUAAAGGAGACUUUCAUAUCAUCCACAACUAUGUACUAUACAAUUAAACAUGUCUUUUUAAAAAUACGUGUUAGUUUCUGUGAUGGUCAGCUGCAGUGUCAACUUGGUCAGGCAAUAGUACCCCGUUAUUCAAUCACAAAUGCCUAGGUGUUGCUGUGAGGUAUUUAUUUAGUAGAUGUGAUUAGCAUCUACAGUUAGUUGACUUUAAGUAAAGGAGAUUGUCCUUGAUAAUUUUAGUGGCCCUGAUUCAAUCAAUCAGUUGAAAGAUCUUAAAAGCAGAAAACCUGAGGUUUUCUUUUAAGGAGGAAGACAUUUCACCUGUGGACUGCAGCAUCAGCUUCUGCCCAAGAGAUUCCAUAUUUUCCUACAGAUUCUGGACCUCCCAAGACAGCCCCACAAUCACAUAAGCUAAUUCUCUGCAAUGAAUUAAUUUAAAUAUCAGAUCACUGGUGCUGUUUGUUUCUCUGGUGUAACCCUGAGUAUAUGUUACCCUAAAAUAGGCAAUAAAUGAGUUAGAAAUUUGCUAUACCCUCUUCCUUAUGUGCUAGCUGAUAUUGCAUUUCAUUAUGUAUCCUUCUUAGUGUUAUUAAAGUUUAGAGAGUGUGUAAGUGUGUACUGAAAAAAAAACUCAUUUCUGUAAAAUUGUCUUCUAAGUAUACAGACUUUUUAGAGAAGUAAACAGCAGACAGUUAAAAAAAAAUGCUACUUUAUUAGAGCAAAACCAAUUUUAAUCCCAACAAAAAAAUCACCCAAUUGAAAAAAAUUAAGUUUCUAAUGAAUAAAGUAGUAAACAGUACUUACAGUAUUAUAUUUUAUUUAUUUUACGUUUUAGAGAUAGAAUCUUGCUAUGUUGCCCAGGCUAGCCUCAAACUCCUGGGCUUAAGUGAUCUUCCUGCCUCAGCCUCCUGAGUAGCUGGGACUACAGACACAUGCCACCAUGCCCAGCGGUAAUUAUAAUAUUAUUUUUUAAACAAAAA